ACUUGGGAUAGCUCAGUUGGUAAAGCACGAGAUUCUUAAUCUCAGGGUUGUGGGUUCAAGCCCCACGUUGGGCA
rnacentral:tRNA from 1 species